rnacentral:rRNA from 1 species
AGUCCAGGUGGUCGCCUUCGCCACUGGUGUUCCUUCCUAUAUCUACGCAUUUCACCGCUACACAGGAAAUUCCACCACCCUCUACCGUACUCUAGCUUGCCAGUUUUGGAUGCAGUUCCCAGGUUGAGCCCGGGGCUUUCACAUCCAACUUAACAAACCACCUACGCGCGCUUUACGCCCAGUAAUUCCGAUUAACGCUUGCACCCUCUGUAUUACCGCGGCUGCUGGCACAGAGUUAGCCGGUGCUUAUUCUGUCGGUAACGUCAAAACAGCAAGGUAUUAACUUACUGCCCUUCCUCCCAACUUAAAGUGCUUUACAAUCCGAAGACCUUCUUCACACACGCGGCAUGGCUGGAUCAGGCUUUCGCCCAUUGUCCAAUAUUCCCCACUGCUGCCUCCCGUAGGAGUCUGGACCGUGUCUCAGUUCCAGUGUGACUGAUCAUCCUCUCAGACCAGUUACGGAUCGUCGCCUUGGUGAGCCAUUACCCCACCAACUAGCUAAUCCGACCUAGGCUCAUCUGAUAGCGCAAGGCCCGAAGGUCCCCUGCUUUCUCCCGUAGGACGUAUGCGGUAUUAGCGUUCCUUUCGAAACGUUGUCCCCCACUACCAGGCAGAUUCCUAGGCAUUACUCACCCGUCCGCCGCUGAAUCAAGGAGCAAGCUCCCGUCAUCCGCUCGACUUGCAUGUGUUAGGCCUGCCGCCAGCGUUC